CAAUUGUUCAGGAUACACUUUAGAGGAGU
rnacentral:piRNA from 1 species